rnacentral:rRNA from 1 species
UAAAUACUCUCCUAUGACCGAUAGUGAACCAGUACCGUGAGGGAAAGGUGAAAAGUACCCCGAGAGGGGAGUGAAAUAGUACCUGAAACCAUGUGCCUACAAGCAGUCGGAGCACCCUUUGGGUGUGACGGCGUGCCUUUUGUAGAAUGAGCCAGCGAGUUACGGUGUGCUGCGAGGUUAAGUUUCGAAACGAGCCGCAGCGAAAGCGAGUCUUUAAACGGGCGUUGAGUCGCACGCCGUAGACGCGAAGCCGGGUGAGCUAUCCAUGGGCAGGCUGAAGCGGGAGUAAGAUCUCGUGGAGGGCCGAACCCACUUCGGUUGAAAACGGAGGGGAUGACCUGUGGAUCGGAGUGAAAGGCUAAUCAAACCCGGAGAUAUCUCGUUCUCCCCGAAAUAGCUUUAGGGCUAGCCUCGGUCGUUUACUGCUGGAGGUAGAGCACUGGAUGGGUGCGGGGGCUUCACCGCUUACCAAGCCUAACCAAACUCCGAAUACCAGCAGUCCAGAGACCGGGAGUCAGAAUAUGUGGGCUAAGCUGUGUAUUCGAAAGGGAAACAGCCCAGACCGCCCGCUAAGGUCCCUAAGUCAGUGCUGAGUGGCAAAGGAUGUGCGUUUGCCUAGACAACUAGGAUGUUGGCUUAGAAGCAGCCAUUCAUUUAAAGAGUGCGUAACAGCUCACUAGUCGAGUGGACAUGCGCCGACAAUUCACGGGGCUAAGCACUGCACCGAAGCGGCGGGCUGAAUUUUUCAGCGGUAGGGGAGCGUUCCGUACGGCACGAAGCAGAGCGGGUGACCGUCUGUGGACCGUCCGGAAGUGCGAAUGCUGGCAUGAGUAACGAGAGAGGUGUGAAAAACACCUCCGCCGUAAGUCCAAGGUUUCCUGGGCAAGGCUAAUCCCCCCAGGGUCAGUCGGGAGCUAAGGCGAGGCCGCGAGGCGUAGUCGAUGCACAACAGGUGGACAUUCCUGUACCGUCUGGGACGCGUUAUACCGAUGGGGCGACGGAGAAGGAUAGCUGGGCGGGGUUCUGGACGUCCCCGUGAAAGCGCGUAGAGCGUGGAUUAGGCAAAUCCGGUCCACUCGAAGCUCGAGGCGUUACGACGAAGCGAAUGCGUGAAGUCAGUGAUUCCAUGCUUCAUAUAAAAACCUCUAGGAAGUGUCCCAGGCGCCCGUACCAAAACCGACACAGGUGGACGGGUAGAGCAUACCAAGGCGAUCGGGAGAACUAUGGUUAAGGAACUCGGCAUAAUGACUCCGUAACUUCGGGAGAAGGAGUGCCCCUGCUGGUGGAGAGGCUUGCCCUCCGAGCUGGCGGGGGUCGCAGUGAAACGGCCCAAGCGACUGUUUAUCAAAAACACAGGACUCUGCUAAGUCGUAAGACGACGUAUAGGGUCUGACGCCUGCCCGGUGCUGGAAGGUUACGUGGAGAGGUUAGCCGCAAGGCGAAGCUUCGAAACUAAGCCCCAGUAAACGGCGGCCGUAACUAUAACGGUCCUAAGGUAGCGAAAUUCCUUGUCGGGUAAGUUCCGACCUGCACGAAUGGCGUAA